CAAUAGAUAUUAUUCAUCUGCAAUUCUUCUGGUUGGGAUAAAUUAGAUUCUGAUGACCUUUUCUGUUAUUCUGAUCCAAAAUUAUAUUACUGGUACACAACAAAUCUGUCAACUAUGGAUGCGCAGUCACUAUCCUCAGGCCACACCUAUUUUUAUCAAGGCCACUAUCUCAUUCUUCCGCCGCGUAUAAUCAUUCUGGCGCGAACUAAGCUCCCGGCGGUCGGCUGGAGGUGACCUUAGCCCUCAGGUCCCUUGCGAUGGGUGAAGUUAAUCCCGAACAUGGUGCUAAAUUCAGAUCGUUGCCACUGCCACCGUCAAGUUUUCCAUUGAGACGCAAGAUCAAGAGCCUGUUAAAUCUGUAACACCAGACCGAAUGAAGCAAUUGCAAGAUUGUUCAGGGUGCUGGCGAAGCGAUAGAUCUUGAAGGUUUGCAUGAAGAGUGCCUGAAUAAAUGUCCAGAGUUCUAAGAGGAAGUUAUUUGCUAUAUGGAAAUUGGGUUCUGUUUUACUCCUGGCAUUAAUGCAACUCAGCAAAAAGACAUCGGAAAGUCUAUUUGGAAGGUUACGAGCAACAAGCGCGGUUUACGAAGGAUUUAUUUUGCAAGCGCGUCCGAUUAUAAGAGGGAAAUUUGAUGAACGAUGCUUGAACCAUUAGAAAACCUUGACAGAUCAGCUACCGUGGUCGCCUUUCUCUCAAAUAAAAUUCAAUCUGAAUUCCUAUUAUUCCAAAGGUGCUAAAUCAGUUAUCUUGGCCAUCUCGUGGCCCAUCGGAGUGCACGUCACACCAGGAACUCGAAGACCCUUCCGGGUCAGGGCAGCAGUAUAUCUGUUGGCGUAGUCCAACGGAAGAACGACUCCUUCCCAAGGUCACGGUAGAGCCAUGGAAAUCCUCCUUGACCAUGCGCCACAAAAUAGGACCCGGGAAGUGUUGGGCGUUGAUGUUUUCAGUACCAUCGGCAACAUGAGCGCGCGACACUCCAUAGUAACAGUUCCCCGUGGUCAUCGUUACUUUUUAUAACCAGCACUUGGUUUCGGGGAAAAAGCGAUUUUGCUCCCUCACGCGUUUUGCUGCUGUAGUUUCGCCGAAAGAAAUGAAAAAACUGGCCUUGUUUCACGUGAGCGCUAGCUCGAGGAAAGCCGGGAGCGUAGCGCAGUUGGUUGAAGUUAGUAAGCGCGGGAAAUAUGCCUUCAUCGAAGAACUGGGAUAUCUGUUCUAUCCUCUGGCAGUCGAGACGUUCGGGACGUACUUUUCUGAGCUGAUCCGUUUCGCCGGCUGGAAGAUCCGCGAAGUUACUGGGGAACCUCGUUCUACGGCUUUUCUCAGACAACGUUUAAGCUUAGCAGUAGUCAGAGGAAAUGCAGCGGGCGUUUUAGGUACGCUGCGUGCACGUACUGACAAUAUGGAUUAUGGGUGUUUUUUCAAUGUUUAAAACUAUUCAUUUUAAUUGGUGUAAAUCUGCGCAGGCUUAUUGUUAAAAACUAGGUGAAAUUAGUUGAAUGAAUGAAUUAGAUGAAAUUUUUUCUGAAAUUUUUCUAUAGUUUCUACAUGUAUUUCGCUGCCACAUCAUUUUUUGACGAUUUACCUUUCUAGACAAAAUUAAUUAUUGCUGCACUUUAAAUUCUGUACUUUAAAUUCUUGAAAUUCUGUAUGGUAAUUUGGUAAACCGUGUUUUCGCAGACCGGAUUGCUUGCUAUGGGUUUUAGUAACUGCAGUAGGUAUGAGAUAGAUACUAGAUUGUAUGAACGUUGAACUGAAUCAGCUAAAUAAUUUCUAUUGUAAGGCAAAGGUAGUGCCUAGUCCUGCAUGAGUAAGCCAGGGUAGGUAAUACCGUCUUAGGUACGAAAUACCGGUAUCAGUAGGUUAAUAGAAAGGCUACCGUUUCAAGCAGCAUUUAAGAACAAGGAUUUUGUUCAAUUUGCGUGCUUAUAGCGGCAACUUUUUUGGCUUCGAGAUAGAUAUGGCACGGUUUGUUACCGCACGUAAUGCGAUUUUUGUUUCGUUACCGUAACCUCACGAAGCACCAGCGCAAUUCCAGGCAUUUCAAUGAACUCAAUGCAACCCUGUAGUUUUGGGACUUGUGCUGAGCCUUAAAAUAAAGUUUUAUUUUAAUUUUACUGACGUAGAACAAACAGAAGAUAAAAUUUGCAGAGCAGUCAAAGUACUAGUUACUGGAGAGCAGCGAUGCAUUAUGGCUGUCCAGUUGUCUCCGUACCACAAAAUCAUGCCUGCGCUUUUAAACACCGUGUUUUCAUCGUGGAACAUCAUGUUUAAUUUUUUAACAUCCUCUCUGCUUUUCGAUGAAAUCAUUUCUGUGUUUUUCACCGUUCGCAACCAUCAUGAGCGUUAACAUACUGUACUGUAAUGCACUAAGCCCAACGAAUCGCCAUAAUGCAUCUGUAUCUCUACUAUCUAAUAAUAAUAUUAUAUCUAUUAUUAUUAGAUAUGUAAUAUUAUUAGAUAUUAUCUA